rnacentral:rRNA from 1 species
GACGUAGGGUGCAAGCGUUGUCCGGAUUUAUUGGGCGUAAAGAGCGUGUAGGCGGUUUGGUAGGUCCGUUGUGAAAACUCGAGGCUCAACCUCGAGACGCCGAUGGAAACCAUCAGACUAGAGUCCGGAAGAGGAGAGUGGAAUUCCUGGUGUAGCGGUGAAAUGCGCAGAUAUCAGGAAGAACACCCGUGGCUAAGGCGGCUCUCUAGUACGGUACUGACGCUGAGACGCGAAAGCGUGGGGAGCGAA